rnacentral:rRNA from 1 species
ACGGGUGAGUAACGCGUGGGUAACCUACCCUGUACACACGGAUAACAUACCGAAAGGUAUGCUAAUACGGGAUAAUAUAUUUGAGAGGCAUCUCUUAAAUAUCAAAGGUGAGCCAGUACAGGAUGGACCCGCGUCUGAUUAGCUAGUUGGUAAGGUAACGGCUUACCAAGGCAACGAUCAGUAGCCGACCUGAGAGGGUGAUCGGCCACAUUGGAACUGAGACGCGGUCCAAACUCCUACGGGAGGCAGCAGUGGGGAAUAUUGCACAAUGGGCGAAAGCCUGAUGCAGCAACGCCGCGUGAGUGAUGAAGGCCUUCGGGUCGUAAAACUCUGUCCUCAAGGAAGAUAAUGACGGUACUUGAGGAGGAAGCCCCGGCUAACUACGUGCCAGCAGCCGCGGUAAUACGUAGGGGGCUAGCGUUAUCCGGAUUUACUGGGCGUAAAGGGUGCGUAGGCGGUCUUUCAAGUCAGGAGUGAAAGGCUACGGCUCAACCGUAGUAAGCUCUUGAAACUGGGAGACUUGAGUGCAGGAGAGGAGAGUGGAAUUCCUAGUGUAGCGGUGAAAUGCGUAGAUAUUAGGAGGAACACCAGUUGCGAAGGCGGCUCUCUGGACUGUAACUGACGCUGAGGCACGAAAGCGUGGGGAGCAAACAGGAUUAGAUACCCUGGUAGUCCACGCUGUAAACGAUGAGUACUAGGUGUCGGGGGUUACCCCCUUCGGUGCCGCAGCUAACG